UACGUAGGGUGCAAGCGUUGUCCGGAAUUAUUGGGCGUAAAGAGCUCGUAGGCGGUCUGUCGCGUCGGCUGUGAAAACCCGGAGCUCAACUCCGGGCCUGCAGUCGAUACGGGCAGACUGGAGUUCGGCAGGGGAGACUGGAAUUCCUGGUGUAGCGGUGAAAUGCGUAGAUAUCGGGAGGAACACCGAUGGCGAAGGCAGCUCGCUGGGACGUGACUGACGCUGAGGAGCGAAAGCGAGGGGAGCAAACAGG
rnacentral:rRNA from 1 species